CGUCAAUUUCUUUCAGCAAUCCGCGUGUUCAACAUCAAUCAGUAGAAGUGGAAUUUUUGCAGUCGACAUGAUGAACUUGUAUAUUACAAUUUUUGUCAAUGCGACUCUAAUCGCCGUUUGGAUGACAGGAUAUGCAAAUGCUACUAAAUGUGAAGUUGUGGAUUGUUUCCCUGACAAAAUAUGUGUAGAAUUGGGAAAUGGCGAAUUUAUUUGCGUGCGAACAUGCCAAUCACAUACAGAAUGUGGCAAAUGUGGAUUUUGCUUGAAGAACAAAAAUGGAUCGUCUAAAAGUUGCUACUAUCGAUGUUGGAAUAAACGGUGUAUUGAAGGCACCAAAUGUAAAAUAACUGGUAGACCUAGACGUGGACAUUGCAUUUUGCCAUAGUCAUUAUCAUUUUGUGAAUUAGAUAAGGAGUCAAAUCACCAAUCAACAAUAAUAUAGAAUUUAAAAAUAGUACUUGAAAACGUUAUUCAAAAAUUAAACACAAUAAUUUCAUUUUUUCCAAAUUUUCAGCAUAGUAUCAACACUGUAUUAAUGACUUAAGACAAUUCAAAUUCGUGAUUAUUCAAAAAUAUUAAUUUAAAAAUAAACAUUUCUAAGGGAAAACUUAUUGUUCAAACUUA